UUAUAAAAUUAAAAAAAGUUUAUUCUUAAUUAAUAAAUAUUUUUUAUAGGAAAAAUAAAAUAUUUUCUAAUAAUUAAAAUUUUUUAAAAAAUGUAAAAGUCCUAAAAGAUAAAUACUAGUGCCAGCAUUCGCGGUUAUUCUAUAUUUUUUUAAGUCUUUAAAUUCUUAAAAAUAUACAAAAUAAAAAAAAUAUAAUUAAGUAAAAUUAUUUUAUGAAAUUUAAUAAAUUUUAAGAAAGUAAAUAAAAAUAAAACUAGGAUUAGAUACCCUAUUAUUUUUUAGUUGUAUUAAAGUAGUAAAUUAUAAUAACAAAACUUAAUUUUUUUGGCGGUUUUNUUUUUUUUUCUCAAAAAAUAAAAUAUUUUUAAUUCAGAUCAAUGUGAAGAUAAUAAAAAGGAUUAUAUGAGUUACAAAAAUUAGAAAAAUUAAUUUCAUAAAUUUUUAAAAAUGGAUGUGAAACGUAAAAAUUUAAUAAAAAUAAAUUUUGGAUUAUUCCUAGAAAAAGUACAUAUCGCCCGUCACUCUUAUAAAUUAGAUAAGUCGUAACAAAGUAGAAAUACUGGAAAGUGUUUCUUGUUU
rnacentral:rRNA from 1 species